AAUGAUCGAUCAUGAAUUAUAGGGUGAAUAUAUGGUCCCAAUCUUUCUUUUCGUUUCAACUAUCACCAUUUCUGCUGAAACUGCCAUGGGCCCCAUGUCUAAAUAGGCAGGCAGGAUUGUUAAGAAUGUGGGGUUGAGCCUAACUCAACCCUUCAAAACCGGCUUGCAGGGUGAGGAUUGUCCCAACUAAUAAAGACAUGUUCAGACAAUAUAUUGUCCGUUAUAGGAUUCUUAACAACGAUUAACCAUUCAAAA
rnacentral:lncRNA from 1 species